AGUCGUAACAAGGUCUCCGUAGGUGAACCUGCGGAGGGAUCAUUAACAGCAAAACCAAAACCCCUGUCUCUGACCUUGUCCCUUUAACAGGGGGCAUCUAAGAGACAGGAAGUACCCGUGCCCGGCUCAAGUCCGACUAUUAAUCGGUCCCCUUGGGGGAGAAGGCCCGAUUAAAAUUUUGUUCCCUCCUCAAGUAAUGACUAUUAAAUGUAAGCCGAGUGCUACUUUUUUAAAAAAAAAAGUAAAAUACAUAAACCAUUGGCGACGGAUGACUCGGCUAGG
rnacentral:misc_RNA from 1 species